rnacentral:rRNA from 1 species
CACGUAGGGGACGAGCGUUGUCCGGAUUCAUUGGGCGUAAAGCGCGCGUAGGCGGCUCGGAAAGUCGGGUGUGAAAGCCCGGGGCUCAACCCCGGGACUGCAUCCGAUACUUCCGGGCUGGAGGUAGGUAGGGGAGAUCGGAAUUCCUGGUGUAGCGGUGAAAUGCGCAGAUAUCAGGAGGAACACCGGUGGCGAAGGCGGAUCUCUGGGCCUUACCUGACGCUGAGGCGCGAAAGCUAGGGGAGCGAACAGG